rnacentral:tRNA from 1 species
UGGCUGAGUGGUAAAGCGCAUGGCUUCUGAGUCGUGUGUUCCGGGUUCAAAUCCUGG